GCCCGGCGCCCGCGGGGGCCGGGGAAGAGGGGCGAGGGGGCGUGUGCCCCAGACGAUCCCGGGCGCGCCCGUGUCAAGGCGCGUCCGGCGGGGUCCAAGGGAGGUGAUGCCGGUGAGCAGGGCUCGGACGUGGGUGUAAAUCCCCGCGCUUGGAGUCCGUGGUCACAGCGUCUGGGCGAGCCUCCUGCGCCCGGGCCGGCCUGCGCUGAUUCGGUCGGAGGUCUCUCAGACCUCACCGGCGCGGCGCUCUCUUUGGCUGGCAGAGAACUACGCGUGGUUCUUAAUCCUGUUUAUACAUACAAGCAACUGAAUAGCUUCAGAAAGAACUCCGUUGCCCGGCCCCGUUCCAGACCAGUGGAACCCCAAUCUACCCCGGGCCUGGACAUGGUGCAUUAGAAAAAAGACCCUCCCUAAGUAUUUCUGAUGCACAGGGAGGGGGUCAGAACUUAUCGAAGUAACCAGCUUGAUGGAAUAGAUAGUUGUGAAACCACCCAUCUUUAGAGACGAAAUAGUAAAAAUAGCUAACACGUAUUGAUUGUCAUUUUACAAUUGGGGAAAUUGAGGCUUAGGAGGUAAGUAAGAAUUGGUCAGUGACGAUCUCUGACUAGUACUCGGGGAGGCUGACUCCAGAACCCAUACUUUCAGCCAUGCUGUCUUGGAAAUAGGUCUUUACGUAAGGGCCACAUGUUUGCGUGAAUAGCAAUAGUUAUAUGUUUGCCUGCAGGCUAGCGAGUCUGUAUACAGUAUUUACCUAUGUAUUUAUGUAUUUUCAUCUGGAAAGUUGUGCUUGUACUAAAGCGGGGAGAAUCACUUGGUGAAUUUGUUAAGGUAUGUAGGCUACUAACGUUUUCAGGAAGUUUAUAGUGAAGAGAAGAGAGGGGACCCCAGUAAUUUGAAAAGAACACAUUCCAUGGGAGUUUUUUGUUUUGUUUUUAGACGUAAACAUGUGCAAAGUGAAGGGAAGAGUCGAGAAGAUUCAGGUAUUUUCCAAGGAUUUGCAUACGCAGCCGCAGAAGUCCUUUCGGUUGCUGGCACGAUACAAUCUUGUGGUCAUAGGCUGGGUGUAGCCCAAAGUGGGGGGCAGUCUACAGAGGAGCAGAAGCUCUGCCGUGAACAUUUGGGAGCAAAAUAACUAUUACUCUGGUGUAGAGUACAGAAGUUCUGCUUCUACAUUCCUCUUCUCCCUUUGCUUUAUUUCAUUUGUCUCCUGGUCAGAUGAACUCUUACAGGGACUAUUUAGAUGUGAGGGUAACCCAUCUGUUCUGAACAUGUGUUUAUUGAUAUAUUCUCUAAAGAUAUUCCAAAUAAAACUCCCAGGAAACAGGUCUUUCCCUGAAAACAAAGGGCUCCUAUUACCGUGUUUUUGCAACCAAUACGUAUUAUUAGAUGAUACUGUGUCACAAAGAAAUGUCUUUGUAUUCCUACUAAUGGUUGCUGUCUAAUAGUGUUAGUUGUGUGGCAGACAUAGGCAUGUUACUUGGGAAAUUUAAGGAUUGGUUUUACGGUGCUUGCAGUUUGGGUGAGCAAAGUUUGUAGACCCACCAGGGCAAGCCUGACGUAAGCAUGAGUGUUGGCAGUCUGGCAUGGAAACAGCUCUCCAACCCCGUCUCCUUCCCUCCCUUGUCAUCCGCGUCCCUCUUGACCACCAAAGCCACAUUUCUCCGGCAUUGCCAAACCACCCGUAUUUCCUUUGCACAGCUCUGCCUAGGUUGCUCGUGGGCACCUCCUUCAGGAAAUUUUCCCUGAUUUCUCCUCAGAAAACAUUGAAAAAUCCCUUCCCUGUGUCACCUCUGUGUCCUGUGCAUGUUUGUCUCACUGCAUUUAUCACGACCUGUCAUAUUGUUUUUGUUGACACGUUGGAUACCCCUACUAACUGAGCUCAUCAAAAUUGGAAAUGGGGAUUAUUUAUCUGUGUGUGUCUGACACACAGUAGGUUCUUAAGUUCAUUGCGUCGGUCUGAACUGAAUUUGAGUUGCAUUAUUUGUGUUGAUAUUUGCCUGUGUCACCCGUCUUCGUUAACCGUCUUCACCUCCUCUGCUACUAGCUACUAGGCUGAAAACCCACAUCCUUGCACAGAGAACGCAGAAUACCACCAACACAUUCUUGUAAAAGGAGUAGGAGGGAGAGGGCAAAAUGGAAUCAGUUUUUCACUUGUGUCCCAAUUUUGUUCUUGACUGACCACUUGGGUGGCAUGAAUUUUCUUGGUUACUCAUGCACACUGGAAGAGAUACUUAAUAUUGUCACGUUCAACUUAUUUAGGAAGGAAGAAAUGGCGCUGCGUUACCGAUGGACAGACGUCUGUGUGCAGUGGCAGAAUACAGACUCUUCGUCACAUUUCAUUACCCCAUAAUAUUCAGGUUUGGUGUUACAGAGCUAUUUGUACUGUCCCAUUAGAGCUUUCUGAGAUGAUAGAAAUGAUUUAUAAUGAGGUGUUUGUAAUGACUUAGAAGUGAUAGCCACUAGUCACUUGAGGCUGUUGAGUACUUUAAAUGUAACUAGUGUGACAUAGGAACUGAAUUUCUAAUUGAUUUAAAUGGAAAUAGCCACAAAUGGCUAGUGGAUACUGUACUGGACAGCACAAUUAGAGAGGACUGAUUAUGUUUCAGUUUAGUAUUUGACAGGUAAAUGUUUAGGCCAAGGUCUUCUGCCUUUAAAAGAAAAUCUUGGUUCAUUUUCUGGGGCUUAACACUGUGUGUCUGGUUCAUAGAUUAUAAGGUGUUUACUGGGUGCUAUUUUGACCUGUGUGAGGCCUUCAUAUUACAGAGCGUUUGUCUGUGUGUUCUGUGAGCUUUUCAUGUAGUUCAUGUGGUCUCCCUUUUUUAGGAGCAGAGUGGAGUGAUGACGAGUAAUUAUGAUUAUGAAUAAUUAUUUACAAAUCAAAUGGAGUUGAGCCCUUGGCGUGUAAACUGAAUGGAAGUCCCGUAAGUUCAGUCAACGCUUCUCUAAGAUGUCUUGUGAGGAGCAUGAGCUGUGUUUGUCUUGCUGGCUGUUGUCUCCCUCGUGCCUCAUAGACUGCCUGAUGCCUGGCGAGUGCUCAGAAAUGUUUGUUGAAUGAAAGAAUGUUGAAAUAAUUUUAACCCCUCUAAUUUAACUUCAGAGGGUAUAUUGUGGAGCUGAAGAGGAGGCUGAGGACCAGGAACUUCACUGAAUUUACAGUCCUUCCAAGGAAGGCCAUCUCUCCAGGGCAUUAUUGUUAAUUCAGUGACUCUCAUUUCUUUCCUGUAAAGUAUGUAGCAGGGAUUAUUACCCUUCUUUGACGACGAAUUGAAAAAUAAAGGUACAAAAUUUGGUCAUAGAGGUCAUCCACAGAGAGUUGGAAGUGUAAGUCAGAAUGAAGUAGUUGUUUCUGUGGCCUUGUGUGCUCAUCCCUGGUUCUUCCGAGAAAUAAAAUCACACGCUGAACUGUAUUAGUUAGAAAAUUUGGUUUGUAAAGUCAAAGGUGACUAAAUAUGUUAGUGGGGUUGGAAAACAGGGUUGAAAACAUCCCUAGUCUGGCAUGACAUUGAGAAAACAGCUUCAGUAUGAGAAACAGGAAUGGAAACGUUUAUUUCUGAAACCUCUAAAUCUCAAUCUGUGGUAAUCCUGACACCCAAGUUAUAAACUUCUCAAAGAGGAUAUUUAAAGUGUAAAUAGAAACAGAUGUGUAGUCGGGGAGAUAACCACUACUAGACUUUGAAAUAUUUAUAUAAAAAGGUACGAGAUACAUCAAACAUCUGUUUAGAACGAGAGCCCUAGGGCCGAAAAUUGUAGAUGUCGUUUCAUGUGGUCGAUGUUGCAUUGGUGGGUUGAUGACGCAGCCGAGUAUGUGGUCUUGUCCUUGUAGGAGAUGACGCAUAGUGUACCCUCCAUGCUGUGCGUCAGAGGCACCUACUUCGUGGUGUUGUGUGUGGCUUGAUUCUAGGCCUGUCCUCGUUCCUGGGACACAGUCUAGCUUCCUAUCAUUCUGCCACUAUGUGUUCCACAAAUGAAAACUAAUUUUAUACAAGAGAAAAUAAAAAUCUGUUGACUUAAAAAAAAGUCAUAGGAUACAUUCCAAGAUAAAAUCUGAAGGUUUUUUUUGGGGGGGGGAGGGUUACUUUGUUUAAUCAAUUUUUGGCCUAUUAGUCCUUUAUGAUUGCUUUUCAAAGCCUUUAAUGUGAACUCUUUGGUGGAGGGGGGAAAAGCCCCCAAAACCGAAAGCAGACUGUCAGCUAUGUCCCGUAAAUUCUUGCUGUUGCCCGCAAAACCAAACCGAAACAGCCAUAACAAGACAAAACCCACUACUGCUAUCAGCAACAGAAGUUAACCCAACCAGCCAAACAAACAGAGAAGCCUGUGAGCCCUGACUUGUUGCUUUUGUGGGGAGGUCAAUAAUGUGAAGUCUUUUUUAGGUACUACAUGUAAAUUACUCACAACAAGAAAAUUUGUAUCUGCCUGUCUGUCUAACUGUGAUUUAAGAAGUAAUACUGCAGUAGAACAAGAUGUUUCCAGCCUGGGAAAUCCUGAGGGCCUGCUUGGAUUCAGGUGUACUGUUUAAGAAUUAUUUUGAAGGUUUAUUGAGAACUAUCUCUGGUGACCUUGGUCACUAACUUGAUCUAAGAGUUGCAGUUUCUGGCUUCAUUUCUUUCUCAUCAAUGAGUGGCUGGAUUGAUCGGUGGUUCUCAGACUUUAGUGUGUAUGCGAAUCACCCAGGGCUUGUUAAAACCCAGAUUGCUGGACCCCCCCUGCAGUUUCUGACUCAGUAGGUCUGGGGCAAGUCUCAUCAUCUGCAUUUCUUACAAGUUUCCAGGUGAUGCUGAUGCAGCUGGUCAGGGGACCACAUUUUGAGAACCGCUGGAUUAGAUAAUCUCUUCUAAAGGGGUAUGAUUCUGUGCCUGUUUUUCCUUCUUUUCCAGUUGCAGCACCUGUUGUUUGAUUUCUGCACUGUUCCAUCGUUUAAGGAUUGCUGUAUGGCAAACUGAGUUUUAAAAGUAUCAGAUGGAUACAGAGUUUCUUGAGAAUUCCAUAUAUUUUGCAAAAACCUCUGGUCUGUUAAAACUCAGGUUGGGUCUUCUUACUUAAGUAGAGUAGAUGUCUCCAGUUAAAAUAUAUUGACGUAUUUCUGUUGUUAUUAAAUGACAGACUAUUUGCCGCUCCUUAAACCUAAGUGUUGUAUCAAAACGAACCAAGGACCUUUUAAGAGACAGCUCCAGAGUAUGAUGCGGUACCUUACAUAAUUGUGGGCUCACUAAAUAAAUGGUUUUUAUGAGACAUAGUUUUUUUCCUAGUUAAAACUCACUGGAUUUGGAUGCAUAAUAGACUCCGAUAGCGUUAACCUAGACAGUCUCGGAAGCUAACUGCCUCACAGAAGAUUCGUGGUUGCAGGAAAGAGAUGUCAGUCGAGAGAUGAAGAGUAAGUCAGGGCAUAACCAUUCCCUGUUUUGGGGACUUUGGGGAACACUGGAAGCUCUGCAUUUUCUAAAUAAAGGGGCUCUGGGGCUGGAGUCUGGAAGGAAAGCGAUGAGAGACCAGGAGACGUCUUCAAGCAGCCCUUGGAGAGCCAGCACACUGUUCUUACCCAGAGGGCGUGUUUAUUUGGGGGAAAGGGUUCGGCUUUGGGAGGGGUUCAUGGAGAGUCCGAGGCGUUCUAACAGGUGGUGCUCUGGAGGCAUUCCAGAUCACACCAGACUCCCAGGUGCCAAGAGUCCGAUGGACUCAAGGUUUGAGGUGAGUUGAAGUGAGGUUUGACAAUACAUUCUCAAGUGAGUUAAUUUUUUGAAGAGGAAAGAAUAGUAAGAUUUUGGAGGGAAAAAAAAAUCUCAUCUAAGAAGAAGGAAAUAAAAAAGAAGAGUAGGGAAUGGGAGGGUAAAAAUGAAAAAUUUUACAUUUUGAGGUGUUCUAAAACUCUGUGUAUGUCAAGACUAGUCACUAGCAUAGGCUUCUUUGUUAGAAAAUAAGUUAAGGAGUUUUCCUAUUCAUUUCCGGUGAAUACUUCAGGAUAUCACCAGAUACUAUUAUUUGACUUACAUCAAAUGGCUUUUCAAAGUUAGGCCCAGAGUUCAUGCAGUGCUUACUUUUUUAGGUGGCUUUAUGAUGGCUAACCAGUUUAGAUCAAAUUCCUGGCAGGCACGUGCCGUACUUAUGGCCCGGCGGGUUUAUGGAUUAGGGAGCAAGUCAUUUGUGUAGCGUAGGCCACAGAGCUGGGCUGAGACCAUGGGGUCUCAUUGCUUUUCACAUUUGCCCAUGGUAGUUUUGUCUUGAAAGUCUCUGUUUUCUAACUGCUCUUAUAAAAUGUUUGAACUUUAAAUCUUGGAGUUGAUUUAGCAUCUGUAUAAUUGAUUGUAGAUUAUAUUUCGUGGAUAUGGCCCUGAGAUUUUGACCUGUUUAUUUCUUUGAAAAGAACUACAUGUGAUUUGCUACUCAGAUGUGCAGGCAUUUCUUGACUCAAAUAUCUGUGACAUAAUCUUCGUAACUAAAUCUGUGAAGCUGUUUUGAAUUCUUUGGACUUGACAGUUUGAGGCUGGGGUUGGCAGUCUGUAUGACAAGAGUGCCGGGGGUGGCCCACGGGCCAGUUAUCCUGGAACAGCCAGGGGGAGGGAGGUGUUGCUGUCUGAUCCCCUCCCCCAACUUUCUUAGAGUUUGCCACCCCACCCCCCCCAAUCCUUCCUCCCCUCCUCCUCAGGACGUUUAAAAAGCUUCCUGUGCUUUAAAGAAUUAAGACACUUAGUGUUUUUCUUGUGUAAUCACACUAGCACUUGGCGACAUCAGUCUUUGCUCUCCCACGUCUCUCCGGGUUCCUUUCUUCCAACUUCGGUUAUUUCUCUUUCUCUCACAGCUGCGCAUCUAGCUUCUCCUGCUGACUCCUGAUUGACCAUAGCCCCCAUGUGGAUUUCCUUUAUCGUCCUUCCUCCACAUUUUCCUCUUCUUCCUUUGCUGGUUAGAGGUUCUGUUUCUGUGCUGUGGCAGAUCUUACUUAGUUUGAUAGGAAGAGUAUUGAGGUAGGAUAGUUUUAAUAACUGUGAUAAUGAUGAGUGGGUGCCUAUCUCUUUGGAUACUGAGCUUGGUGCUUAUAUUCUUUCCACUGAAUUCUAGUUCCCACUAGCUAUAGAACCUUAGGAGAGUGUCCAAGUCUGUGCCAUAGGCUGCUCAUCUGUAAAAUGAGGGGUUGGGGGAGCAAGGUGUUUCUCCCCUAAAAUGCCAUGGUUGAGUUUAUUCACAUUGUGGUCUGGUUGUAAACUCUCAUGAGAAUACUUGUGGAGCUUUUUGAAAGACACCUGUUAAACAAGACUGGUCUCAGUGCAUCAGGACAUCCAGGACUCCCUAAAUUAGGUCAUCUGCAGUAUGGCUGGCCAUCUUUUUCCUUUAGGAGUUAGGGAUGGCUCUCAAGGGCACCCUUCUCCAUACUUGUGCUGUCUGCAUCAGAAGACCCAAAAUUGAACCAGAACUGGAAAGGCUGUUGACCGUGAUUUGGAAGACCCUGCUGCUCUCAUCUCCACGCUGGAGGCCCUGGGCUUCUAGAGACGUCCUUUCAUUGAUGGUAUUCAGACCACUAGGGGAGUUUCUGGGAACCUGCUUAAUACUUGUAUUAAUUCUUGUACAACUCAGGAAAACAGUCCUACCUCAGAUCUUUCUCUUGCAAAAUUGUGUGUGGUCUGUGACCUUGAGUGCUUGUUUCCUGUUUCUAGGGGAAUUUUUGUUAGUAUUGAGUCUUUUUGUAACGUUCACAACUACCUCCAGCUACUUAUCUGUACCUUGUCAAGGCCACUGACGAUUGUUUUGCUUUCUGCUUUUAUAUUGAUGUAUCAUGCAUUCAUUACACCUAUUGUCCGUUUUCUAAAAAAUCUACAAUUAUCUUCUUUUGUUUUUUUAUGUUCCCAGCAAGGUUAAUCGUUGCUAUGCUAAGAACACUCACUUCAUCAGCUUUGUCCUUAGUGUCACUCGUAUUCCUUCAGCUUUUCCUAUUGUUUAGCUUUUCAAAAUCGGGUAAUACCUACUUUUUAUAGGCCCUGUCUAUUGUGAUGGCUCUUCAGUCUUCAGUGAUUAUUGCCUGAAAGUGCAGGUACGUGAUAGCAAUAAGUGAAAAGUAUUUUUAAAUAAAUUGACAUUCAUAUCCUUUCUUUGGCUUUUAUCUUUGACAUCUGUGUCUAUGUUAUGCCGUUUAGUUAGUUGGUGAAAAGAUACUAUGCUUGCAGGCUUCUCCUAUAUUCGUGGGAAAAGAUAUCAAAAUCUUUCUCUGCGCCCUCUCUUAAAGUGUCGAAGCUAAGUCGUCUUCUACUAAUUUAAUUCUUCUGAAAGGCGCAUAGGAGUUUGCUCUUUGCCAUCUAUCUUUGUUACUGCCUAACUAGCAGUUUGGAGCAAAGACUUUAUAAGCUUAAUGAAUCAGUACCCUACUUAGUCAUUUCACAUCGUCUGCAGAAUAUUUUCAAUAUUUGUCAAUAAUAGAAGAUCAUUUGAGAGUCUAAAAAAACAGAAAUAUUCUGGCAGCAGAUUUGCUUUAAAAAGAUUUUUUUAAGUGCUUAUCCAUAUAAGAAAUCAAGCCUCGUAAUGGCUGAAGAGCAUUUGCUCCUGUAUGGUGGACGUGAUGGUGCCAUGAUAUCCUGCGCUCAUUCUGUGUCCGAUGGUCCCAGCCCCUUGACGGAGGAAGGGGCCCAUGUUGUUGAGGGACAGCUGCAGUGGCAUCUCGAGGGUCUCACUGGAAAUGCCCUCCUUCUGACUGUAUUUUGUAGUUUUUGAAGAGUACCAGUUUUUGAAAGCAUUGAAUUGCAUUUGUAUAAAUAUGCAUAUUAUUUGCUAAAACAUCUUUUUUGGAUCAUUAUGCUCUUUUGGAGUUAUGAGAUCCAAACUGUGGAAAGAUGACUCCUCGGGAACAUGUGAGGGCCUGGACGUCCCAGGUCAACAGUCCAGUGUAUUUUGGAUUGUAGCUGUUUCUGUGUUACUUUUCAUGCCUUGGCAUCUUCCUAAUCCUCGACGUGAAGUCUAGGACCAGGCACAAGUAAACAUGUCCUCUCUGGGCAAACUUUCUGUCCGAAAACAAACAAACAAAAAUGCUUAAAGGUGUCUGGACUCUGAGGGAGGUUGGUGGGAUGCUGGCACACCAUGGCCCUGGGAUGCUGGCACACCACGGCCCUGGGAUGCUGACAAGCCAUUGUUGGCAAUUCCUCUCCUCCUUGUAUAUUCUCUUUUCUUUCCAUUUGCUUUACUCUCUCAAUUUCCUUCCUUUUUUUCUUUUUGGGUCCUGUUUCUUCUAUUCCUCUUCCUUUCCCUGUUGCUUUUUUCUCGUUCCUGGAUCAGAUAGCCUAGUAACAUCCUACAGCUGGCACAGGCAUUUUUUUUUUAGCUUGACUAAUGGCAGACCAGAUCUAAAGACAAGUUUUAUUCUGAUAGUUAACGUUACUGUAGUCAGUAAAAUUCCAUGCUGCUGCACACUGUUUCUGAAGAGUUUUAUAUGUUUCUAUAGCAUAUUUCAUGUUGAAAGGAAAAUGAAGUGAAAUGUAGAACUUCCCAGAUCCUUUGAGAUAGUUAAAUAGAUGUUCAAGUAGGUUUCAGACUGAAGUUUAAAUUUUGUGCUAAGACACAUUCUGCCAAAAUGUAAGUAAUAAUAAUCAUGUAGAUGAUGAAUUUCAGGAUUCUUUCUGUUUAUGAAGUUUUUGGUAAAGUUGUUGUUUGGGUUAAAAUAAUGUUUUUAAACUGUUUAAGCUGUAACAAAGUUUGGUAUGAGAAAUGUGACAGAGUCAGAUUUAUAAGUACACACCUGUUGCUUAUGCCAGUGUCAAGGAUGAGAGCACAUUCUAGCUCUAAGGGACUUCAGAGUUCAUUAUAAUUCAAUUCUCUUAUUUUACAGAUGACACAAUUUACUUAAUUUUACACGCCUGGUUAUUGGCAUCGUUGACCACAAUUAGGACUUCUGCUUCCCGAGGCACUCUGCUUUUUAUGGGCCGAGAGUUAAAUCUAUCAAAUUUAGAGGUAAAGGGGGCAGAGAAGCCUGAGAAGAGCAUAUGAAUUCUAAACCUAGCUUGAUUUGCUUAGUUACGAGAGAUUGGAUGAGGUGUUGAACCUCUUUGGAUCUCAGUUUUUGGAGGGUUGAACUGUAAUUGCACGUUUGUGCAGUUUCCAUUUGUGUCUUAUUUCAUGUAGAUCUUAUUCCUAUUUUUCAGUAGAUAUCGUUUGUCUUUUUCCUUGUUAGUGAAUCAGCUUUUCCACAGUGUAUUGUUGUUAGACACAGGUUGUUGUCUUCAUCAACAUGACAGUGUCUCCGUGUUCAAGUGUCGUUAGUGUAAUUCUGAUUGACCGAAGCACACCUUCAGAGGCGGGUCUCCCCUAGUUUCAAACUGGUGAAAGGGUACCGUGCAGGAAUGCUCCGCAGACAGGUAUUGAGAGGUGCUUUUUUCAAAUUGUUACAGUUUAUUACAGUGUUAGAGAGUAAUGUUAUGUAAAUAAAAUUUAAGAGAAUUUGGCCAUUCUAACUUCUCGAGUUGCUUUAUUUGGGAUUAUGGAACAGGUUUUUCCCUUUUCAGUGGGAUAAUCUGUCAUUGUUUGUGUCAGAGAGAAGACGGUUGUGACAGUCUGGAGGGGUAGGCAGGAUGAGAUGAGUUGCAAGUGUUGGAGGAGAAGCUGAGGAGACUGGAGUUGCUUCUCGAGCAGACUGCGGCGGUGGGCUUUGAGACCUCUCUCCCACUGCUUAGCAGUGGUUCCCAUGCCCUUCUUUGUUUAAAGAACCCUUUUCUUUCAGUAAACACUGAAUACCUGUCAUGUGCAUCACAUUGACCUGAGUGCUGUGGGAAUUACGAAAUGACUCAUCGAGAGCUGCUUCCUCUGGGUAUUUAGUCUCUAGCUGGGUUUCCAGUAUAUAUGCCACAAAACAGUGAGAUCCAGUAAAUGUCUGAAUUCCCCAGAGAAUGGUCUAGACAAGGAGGGAGAAGGGAGGACUGAAGCAGUAGGGGAAGACCCCAGGGGCCGUGAUGUUUGAGCAGUUUGAAGGACCAAUAGUUGAAAAUAACUGAAGAAGUCAUUUUAACUUUCUUUCGGGAGAGGGUGUGAGGGAUGAGGUUGGACUAGGUUAGGACAUAGGCAUGGGAGCUGGGAAAUGACCAUUGUAUGUUUUAAGGUAGCAAAGGAAGGGACCCUAUGGAAGUACCAGAACCCUUUUGCCCCAUCUUUUUAUUUUGAAAACUUCAAAUCUUUAGAAAAAUAGCACUUUGAACAUUUAUAUACCCUUCUAGAUUAAUCACUUGUUAAUAUUUUGCCGUACUGCCUGCUUGCUCUGUCUGUAUGGGUUUGGAAUCAAAUGUGGUGUGUAUCUUUUGCUUAACCACUUGAAUAUAGGUUGCAAAUGCUCAUCACACUUCAUCUCUAAAUUCCUGCCAAAGAGGACUUUCUUCCAUGUAACCACAAUACAAUUAUAACACCCAACAAGUUUGGCAUUGACAUAAUAACAUGGUCUAAUAUAUAGGAAAUAUUCAGGUUUGGAGCUAGAAUGUGUUUUUCUUUUUCUUUUUUAAAAGCAGGCAGACAUGUCCGGCACAAUGUAUAUUGAAAGGAUGGAUGGAACAAGAGACUAGAGCCAUGGAAACUGGUUUAUGUAUAUUUAAAGUCACAUAUAGCCUUGAAAAUAGAAAGAGGAAGCUCGUUGUAUUCUGUGAUGCUAUAUUCUUGGAGAUACAAUCUUAGGUUAAGAGCAAGGCAUAGAAGAGUGUAAAAAGAAUUUAUAAGCAUCUGUGCGUGUGUAGAUGUAGAUGUAUAGAUAAUAUCUCUGGAAGGACGGAAGAUGGGCUGUAACAUUUCACGCCUCUAAGAGAAGGAAGCAGGUGGCUGGAGGACACGGAGACGUUUCCCUGAAUACCCUUUUUUACUUUUUGAAUUUUUAACUACUUGAAAAUAUUUCUUACUCAAAAAUAAAUAGUAAAUAAGCAAGCACAGACUUAUGUGGAGACACGAUGAUUAGCUUUGCAGCAUGGAGGAUAACACUUUAUGUUCUAAAGAAAUUUGGAGAAUGAGACCUGAAACAAAGAAGGUGGAGGACAAUUUUUGUCUUUUAAAUUUUGAAGGGAAAUGUGCUGUUUGUGCCACUUAUUAGGAAAGGAUGUCCAGGAGGUAAGUAGGUCUGUUUUUUGGGAGCUGCUAGUGUGGGGAGGAGGGACCUGAUGGGGGUCUGAUAUCCAAGAUUUCACAGAGGAAAACACAAGGAAAGAUGCGGUAGGAGUUUGUAUAUUCCUCUUGGAGUAAAGGAGAAUUUUUUCAUCCUCGAAGAGUGGGAAACAAGAAGAGAAGUUUGUGGUUUGUUUCAGUAGAAAAGUAUAGAAGACGGCAAAUGGGACUUAGAAUUUACAGUGAGUAUGUUCACAUUACCUUCGAUGAGAAAAGAUAGUAAGUAAGUUAAAAAAGCUACUAAGAGAAAAUGAACAUUUAGGAAUAACGUCUGGCUAUUUUCUUGAUUUUAGUGAAGACAGAUUCUUGGGUUUUACUGAAGAUUACGAAGGUUAAAAGAAGACCUUAUUGAGUAAAAUGUAGAAAUCUGUUAUUCGUAAAUUAUUUCUACUUGAUAGCAAUUUGAUUAUUUUGUGUGAUAGCUUUUGUAUAAUUAUAUGGUGAACUUGCUUGGUAUUUAUCCUUAAAAAUUGCUAUUUUGUGGGCCGUCCCAGUGGUGUAGUGGUUAAGUUCAUGUGCUCUGCUUCGGCGGGCUGGGGUUCACAGGAUCGGAUCCCAGGCACAGAUCUACACACAGCUCAUCAAGCCAUGCUGUGGCAGCAUCCCACAUACAAAAUAGAGGAAGAUUGGGAUGAUGUUAGCUGAGGGACACUUUUCCUCAAGCAAAAAGAGGAAGAUUGGCAAAAGAUGUUAGCUCAGGGCCAAUCUUGCACACCAAAAAAAUAAAUAAAUAAGUAAGUAAAUUGCUAUUUCACAGUGUUUUGAAAUAUGUCAUCUGAAAGGUUAAUUUCAGAAUUAACUCACCCACACUUUAUGUUCUGUUUUUGUAUGAUUAACACAGAGUUAUUGAUUGGUACUUAGUGCCUUUUCUUCAAGGCCAGUGUUUAUUAAUCAGCAAAUGUUGAAUUGCUCCCAGUGUCCAUUAGGCAUCCUGUGGUUAAUGGAGACAGAUGAUCUGCCCUUGAUAGAUGCUUCUGGGAAGUUGACAUUUCACCAUUGGUAGUUAAAUUCCUGUCGAGGAGGGAAGCCGCUGAUUGCUUAGGCAGGUCUUCAAGAGGAGCAGAACUCUGCACUGUUUGAUCAGGCGUCUAGGGUGUGACUUUGGAGGUGAAGAAAUUUGAUUUUAUCAGUUCAUUCAGAGUCGAUGGGGAUUGUGAGAUUGAAUGAAGCUAACUAAACUAAGCAAGGUUGCAGAAGAUGGAAUGUUAAUUUGCAGUGGGAGAGGUUCUGUGGCCAGCUGUGGGUUUGUGGAAAGGAUAAAAUUUGGAUCAUAACUUUACUUGGUGAUCAUAGAAACAAGAUGGGGAAGAAUUGGGUAUUUUCAAUUGCUGUUUCCAACAAUUCAUGGGAAUUUGAUAGAGAACUUGUUUUUUUUUACUCCAGGGGCUAUUCUGUCUAAAAAACUGGGGCCUAAAAUCAGAGCAUCUUUACUAGAGUGUGGUGCUGAUAAACGUGAGGAAUUCUUCUCGAGUUUCCUUUGUAAUGAGCUACCAAAGGCCUCGUUAUCCUAUGUCAGACAUGUUCCAAUACAAUGGAGAAAUAAUAGUAAUAACAAUAAUAAUGGAUGCUUACUCUGUGUUGGGCACUUUGCUAAGAUGUUGUUCUUCUCUUGUUUCAUUAAUCCCACAAGAGCGCUAGGAGAUGGUACUGUUAUCAUUCCCACUUUAUAAAGUUAUAGGGUUUAGCGCAGCUUAGGGCUUGGAACCCAAAUUCAGAGCCAGGUAGCCUACUCUCCAGGCUCUUGUGGUCAUAUCCACAUGUGAUAGAAUUUCUUGUGCACAUUUCAGCUUCUUUCCAGUUGUGUUUCCCUUUGGCUAUUGCUUGGUCGUUUUGAGACACUUUCUCUCUCAAAUGAACACUUAGAAAAUGCAGUUAUUGUUAAAAUAUUUAAACACUAACUCUUAAGGUAGUUUCUUUUUGAAGAUUGCUGAUCUUAAUCUAUUUUAUGAUAAUUCAGAAUCAUUUCAUUUAGAGGAUGGACCAUUAAAAAGGUUGCAAAAAACCCAAGGAUAAUGCAAAGAACAUCUAUUUUUACUUAGAUUCACCUGUUGUUAACAUUUUCCCCCAUUUACUUUAUCAUUUGUGCAUAUUUUCCUAUUCUGUAUUUUGUAUGUAUAUGUGUGUAUACGUAUUCCUUUUUCUGAAUCAUUUGAGGAUGUUACAUAUCUCAUGGCCCUUUACCUCUAGUUAUUUCAGUGUGUAUUUCCUAAGAAUAGGGGUUUUCUCUAUUUGGAUAAUAUUUGGGCUUACAGUAAUAGUUACUGUUUCAUAAAUUUAUAUUGUUAAAAUGUUUUAAUCUAAUCUGCUAUUCAUAUGAUGAUUUUGUCAGUUGACUUAAUCAAGUUUUUUAUAACAUUUUUUUCCCUGUGGUAUGAGAUCCAGUCUAGGGUCAUAGAUCACAUUUAGUUGACAUAUCUGUUUAAUAUUCUUUAAUCUGAAAAACAGAAAGUUUUUCUUUGUCUUUUAUCAGAGUGACAUUUUUGAAGAAUAUAGUACCUGUCCUUUUUUUUUUUGGAAUAAUAGAAAGUUCCUCAUUUUAUGUUUAUCUGCUGUUUUCUCAUUGUUAAAUCCAGGCUCUGCAUUCUUGGCCAGAACCUACUUUUUCCCUUCCUUACUAAAUAAGUUUAUUCUUUUUCAAAGUCAGGAAAUUAACUGAUACAAUACUAUCUAAGUACAGACCUUAGUCAGAUUCCGCCAAUUAUUCCCAAAAUGUCUUUAUGGUAAGAAAACCCUGGGUCAUACGUUGCGUAUGGUCUCGUUUUAUCUGGAACAGUUUCUCAGUCUUUCUCUGUGUGACACUUGUGAAGAGUACUAGCCAGUUACUACUAGCAAGUCCUUCCACUGUGGUUUGUUUGAAGUUUCCACGCAGGUGGAGUCAGGUUUUGCACUUGCGGCAGAAAUGCUGUGCAAGGGGCAUUGCGUUCUUCUCAGUGCAUCAUACUCAGGGGCACAUGGUGUCUGUCUGUCCCACUGCUGGUGAGUUUAACUUUGACCAUUCAGUUAAGCCCUGGUCUGCCAGGGUUGUCAGGUGUAAAGUUACUCUUUCUCCUUUUUCAAACGAUAACUGUCGUCUGGAGUUACGUUUUUAGUUAAUACCCUGUUAUUCCUCAAACAUUUCCUCAUAGGCUUUAGAAUCCAUGGAUGAUUCUUGCCUGAAGCAGUUAUUCUUAGGAUGGUGAUUUAAAUUUCCAUCAUUCCCUCCUCGUUUAUUUGUUGACUUUCUUCCACAAAGAGCAUUCUGUUCUGUCUCAUUUAUUUAUUUACCUCAGUGUAGACUCGUGGGUUCUUAUUUUAUUCUUAUUUCAUUAUCCUUACUUAUUUUGACGCUCAGAUUGUCCUAGAUUCGGCCAGUGGGAGCCCCUUUGAGCUGACUCCUGUUACCUUUUGACACAUCCCCAUUAUUCUUUGACACAUCCUUACCUUCUGGCAUAGAAUGGCCCUCCCCUCGUGUCCUUUCUCUGCCUCAGCCCUGGAAGUGGCGAUUUCUCCAAGGAGCUCUGUGUGAGAAUGCCUUUUCUCCACAGCCUGGCCAAGAGUGCCUUUUUAUACAGUUUAAUUUUUGCCAAUCUGAUAGGUGAGAAACAGCAUUUCAGUGUAGUUUUAGUUUGCAUUUCUCUUAUGAGUGAAAUUGAACAUUUUUUCUUUAAGGGGUGUAUGCAUGUAUAUAUGUAUAUGUGUGUGUAUGUGUGUGUGUCCUUUGGCCAUUUUUCUGUCAAGUUACUAGUCUUUACUUACUCAAUUUUAAGAGUUUUUUAUGUAUUAUGGAUAUAAGCCCUUUAUCUGUGGUACGAUGCAGAUAUUUCCUCCCGUUUUAUCUAUUGUCUUUGGUUAAUGAUGGUGGUUUUUUCUUUUGCCUUGCAAAAAAAUUUUGUUCACAAAUUUUAUGUAAUCGAAUGAUCAUCUUUUCUUUUAUUUUUCCUGAUUCUGAGUCAUGGUUAGCACGCGUUUCCUUAUAUCCAGGUUAGAGAAGAAUUUCCCGUUUUUUCCCGUCUAACACUUGUAUGGCUUCAGGGUUUUACAUUUAGAUCCCUGAUUCAUUUGGAGUCUCUUCUUGUCUACGGUAUGAAGUACGGAUCUAAUUUUAUUGUCUUCCAAAUGACUAAUCAAUUGCUUUAGCCAUUUAUUAAAAAGUCACUUUUUGCCCCAGUGAUUUUUUUUGGGUGCCCCCUUUGUUACCUAUAGUCCUGAAGUUCCGUCUGUACUUGGGUCUGUUUUUGGACUUUCUGUAUUACUCCACUGGUUCGUCUGUCUGUUCAUGGACAGUAGCACACUUUUCAUUAUAUGGCUUUCUCGUGUAAUUUAAUGUCUCGGAGGACUAGUCCUCCUCUCCAGCGUUUCAGUGUUUUCCUGGCUGUUCUUGCGUGUAUAUUUUUAGUAUGAAGUUCUGUAUCAGUUGUCUAGCUUCUUUAAAAAGAAUUGUUGGUAUAUUUAUGGGGAUUGCAUUAAAUUUAUAAAUUAAUUUAUGUCAAACUGACAUUUUUAUGAUGUUGACUUGUUCUAUCCCAAAAUAAGAAAUGUCCUUCUAUUUGUUAAAGUCUUCAUUUGUGCCUUUUUAGGAAUGUUUUAUGUUUUCCUCAGAUGGGUUUUUCACAUUUGUUAUAUUUAUUCUUAAAUAUUUUAUUUUCUUCAUAAAACUGUCUUUUUUCCGCUUAUAUCAUGGAGGUCUGAACAUGUCAGUACAUGUAGGCUUACUCGAUUUUUAAAAUGGAUCCAUGGUAGUCUGUUACACCCUAAUUUAAUUUAAUUUUUCCUCUUUGAUGUAUUUUAUGUUGCUUGUGGCUUUUCCCUGUUAUAAACAAUGCUGUGGAGAAUGUCCUUGUACCUGUGUUUUGCUGACUUGUGUUAUUAUACCUGUAAAGUAGACUCCUGGAAAUGGAAUUGCUUAUUCAUAGGUCCUGUAGAUUAUUUUGGUAAUAUAUUCUACCAAAUUAUACUCUUAAACUAUCUGACACCUUUUAAAGCCAAGUACCCUUUAUUGUAUAUGUCCAUCGUUAAAAGACAUUCAAAACUUUUUUUGAAAGAAGCCUCAUAAAACAUAAUUCUAAACAAAAAGUUAUAUCUGUGUGUCCGUUAAUAUGGGGAAUAUAAAGAUAGCAAAGCCAUGAUGUCUACCUUAAAUAACUUAAAUACAGUUUUGGAAAUGAGAUAGAUGUUUAUUUGUAUGCAUUAGAAAAAUUUCUUUGACAAGGAGACUUUGCAUUGAGCCUUAACAAAGUGUUGAAUUUAGUCGAGUAGAGAGAAUCAAGGAGGACCUUUCGUGUGAAAAUAGCCGAGGCUAAAGUCGAGCUGGAAUUUUUUCCGCAGCAGUCAGUACGGUGGCUGGCCGUAGACUGAAGCAGUGUGUUGCUGUUCAGAGACACAGGAAGGGCAGUCAGUGGAAGACCCUGAGUGGCCAGAAUUUGCAUUUGAUCCAUUCGGCAGCAGAGAGCCCUUCUGAAGGAGUGAUCUGUUGCCCUCUAACAGAUUACCCCCAAAUGUAGUGGCUCAGAACACCCGUCAGCACUGAUUAUCUCUGACCGUUUCUGCAGGUCGGGGAUUCGGGAGCAGGGAGCUCUCUUGCCACUUUUCUUCCUUAGAAGCAGAAGCAAGCCAGUAAGUUCAGCUCGCGUUCAAGGGGAACGGAUUAGAGCGCAGCUUGUAAGCAGGGGAGUGUCAGAGAAUCUGGGAACGUAUUUUAAAGCCAGCCCACUAUUUGUGUUCUGAAGAAGAGGGGUGAUGAUGUGACUGUGAAGGGGGAAGAUACCACAGUGUCUAGUGAGGGGUUAAUCUGAUAUUAAAGGAGAAGUGAAGGGAGGGAGAAAUAGGAGGUAGACCCUGGUAAAGCCCUCCAGCAGUCAAGUUCACUAAUGAUGGAUUUAGUCAGGGGAGAUGAGAGAGGAGAGGUAGGACCCAGGUGAGGGAUGCCCCAGAGUGAGGAGAGAGAGGAAGAGGAGAGUGAAAAAAUGGUCUUGAGGUUUUCAGGUCUGCAGAACGAUCAGGCAUGUAAUAACUGGAAAAAGAAACCAGUUUUGAGGGGAUAUGGCUGCUUGCUUGGUUUUAGACAUUCAAGGGGAAAUUCCUAAGCAGCUGAAACUAUAGACCCAGGGCUCGUGUUGAAAUGUCUAGCCAAGGAGGGAAGUUUCAGAUUUGUCGUCCCGGCAGUGAUGGUUCGAUUCUUCAAGGGGUGAGCACGCGGAGAGGCCUGAGCACUGAGGACCAAGGCCUUGAGGGAAGCUGUGGUUUGGAGUCUGAUCGGGAGGAGGCGUUAGAUCUGUAGCAUUAGGGAGAAGGAAGGGCCAGCAGUGUUCUGGCAGGGACGAACAAAGUGGCGUGAUCCAGGGCUUCAGAUGUUGCAGAAUCCGAAGAGAACGAUGUUCGAAAUGAAUGCAUCUGCCUGUAAGAUUAUUAGAGGUGACAGCAGUUUAAGUGAGGGAGAACAAUUUUGGAAAUUGGAUUAUAACGUUUAAUUCGAUGAUUAACUUUUUAAAAAGUGCUCGAGGUGGGAGGAUGAGUGGCUGGCAUGCCUUUCAUCACUUAGGUUUUGAGAUCUUACAUCCUUCUUGCCUCCUUUUAGCACCACCAAGCCUCCCUGGAAUGGUACUUCUACUCAGUUCUUGGACUGAGGGAUGAAAUGGGAUUUUACCUCACUUGUUUUCAGGAAAUCUUUUCACUGCACCUUAUUCACGCUGUUCAGGGUUAGAAGAGAUGGCGUACUUUACCAUCUGGAGUUUCUCUGCCUCGUUGAUGAUGGAAGCGCAAACCUGCCGGUUUAUAGGAGAUGAUAGAUAACACCUUGUAACGUCUGAGAGAAAAAUGGAAGAAACAGAAGAACUUUUAAUGAAACAGAAUAAAGCACUGAACAGCCCCUGGCAACCACCAUUAUACUUUCUGUCUCUCUGAAUUUGACUACUCCAGGAACCUCAUCUUUGUCUGUUGCUUUGGGACACACAGGGGUCUUGUGUUUUAAUGUAGUCAGAUGGAUAUGGAGCACCUUGCCUUUUGUUACUUUUUUCAUUGCUUUUAUAAAGGUAAGAGUUGUUUUCUUAUCUCAAAUUCAGAAAUAUUUUCUUCUAAUUGUUUUCUUUUUUCCCUUUUCCAUUUAACUCUUUAAGCUCCAUAGACUUAGUUUUGGUGAUGAUUGUAAGGUAGGAGCUGAUUUUAUUUUUUCUAGAAUAUUAUCUUGUUCCCAUGUUUGUCCAAAAUCCCAGUAAAGCUGUGAUGCAAGCCAAAACACAUGAUUUUUCUUAUUUUAGUGCCUCGAUUUUCCAACUGGAAAAAUUGAGGAGACUGUGAUAUACCUGUGGAAGGGAGGAGCCGAGAAGGCGGACUGGUACCAGCUCAGAAGCUUCACCCCUCAGCCUCCAACUUGCCCCCUCUCUUCCCAGCUCAGAAAGUGUGAUGCUCAGCACAGGCUGCUGGGGCACAGAGACAGCAGCCAUGAGGGUCAGAGGGCCUCUGAGUUAGGGACUAGAUGGUCCAGAGUGAGCCUCUCCGAGUCUUGACCUUAUUUGCUUGUCCACAGCUAAGAUAAGCAACCAAGGAUUGGCUGAGUGGAGACUUACUUGCACUCAGGUUAUAGAUGUACGCCUGCCCCAGCCUGGGAAAGUCAGCAAUGUUGAGUCCGGUUUCAGCUGUCAGUCAGCUAAUCUGUGUAACACGGCAAAGUCUCAACUUCUGUAAUUUCCUAAUUUAUAGAAUUAGGGAGUUGAGAUGGAUACUCUUUUGAGAUUUAUUCUCAGUAAAUUAUGGUCUAGGCCAGCGGCAGAACUCGGUUGUGCUGUGAAUCUGUUGGCAGAUAUUUCUUGGUAACUAGUUCAUCCUUCUUUAAUUCAGUCAACCAGUAUGAUCCCAAGUUUAGUAAGAUGAUCACAGUGUCCUUUAAUACUCGACCUUGGAGAAUUUCUGCUUCUUGCCUUUCCUAACUGUUCUUAGUCUACCUCAAGCUUCCCUUCAGAAAGACUUCUGUUUUUCCCCAUAGUUUCUCCUUCUGCCCAGCUACCUCUCAUGUUUAAGAAUUAAAGAAAGAUGUUAGUAAUCAAGAAAUACCCCGAACUUAUUCCUGUCCUGUCAAAAGGCUGAAAUAAAAAUAUGAAAAUCAUUUUGAAAAACGUGAAGCAUCAAAGGGAUAAAAGUAUUACCCGUGAGAUACAAAUACCUGCUCUCAGUCAUAUUAAUUGUUUAUUAUUAGUAUUAAUAAAUUAUUAUUUAUUGACAUAUCAAUACAGAAAUUGCAUUUAGAAAUAAAACACCCACAGGCCAAACCUUUUGAAUUUCAAAUGUUUUAUUAACAUACUCUAUUUUAGAAAAGUAGCACAGAGAAUGUUUUUUAAGUAGUUUUUAUAUAAUGAAGACAUCUUAUCAGUCAAUCCAUUAUACUUAUUAAAGUCUUUUUAACAUUCAUCUCCGACUUUUUUUUUUUCUAAAAAUUGGCCCUGAGUUAAUAUCUGCCACCAAGCUUCCUCUUUUUUCCUUCCCGCCAAAGCCCCCCAGAACACAGUUGUAUAUUCUAGUUCUGAGUGCCUCUGGCUCUGCUAUGUGGGACCCCACCUCAGCAUGGCCUGAUGAGCAGUGCUAGGUCCACGCCCAGGAUCCAAACCCACGAAACCCUGGGCUGUUGAAGCAGAGCGCACAAACUUAACCACUCAGCCACAGGGCCAGCCCCUCAUCUCCUACUUUUUGAUUUCCAGAGUGAGUGAACAUGGUCUGAUAUCUGUGGCACGACUAAUAUAACACGCAAGGAUAAUUCAGAUACUAUUUAAUGAGGACCCUAUUAUAAGCUUAGAUACCUCAGAUGAAAAUUCCUAUGAUAUUGACAUUUUCCUCUUGAGAAUCUAUUUGCUGUAGUAAAAUACAAUGACCACUUGAAAUCUGUAGAACUUAUGUAGAGUCUGGGUAAAUCUAAACAGUGUUCUUCUUGAUGCUCCAGGAACAGACAGCACUAUAUAUUAAAGUAUAAGUAUUUAUACAUAGCUGCAACCGAUGUUUUAUUGAUUACAAUUAUGUAUUGCCUGAUCUUCAAAUAGCUUUGAAAAAUAGCCUUUAAACCUUGAAUGGAUAUGAUCUCGGAGAAACAGUUCCUUUAUUAAUUAAACUUUCAUUUCUUGCUGUGCAUCGCUUUGAUCUCAUAAUAUUUUUUAAAACGUCCUGAGGGCUUAUUUUCAAGGCUUCCAAACGAAUUUUUAUUUCUCAAAAGCCAUAACAUAUUCAUGGCUCGGUGAAUCACAAAGACAGUAUCUUUAAACCCCUGUUAAGUUUAUUUUUCUUAGUUGGCUAGCCUACUGCAUAAUUUUCUUUCCUUUGGGUCACAUGACUCCUCCCGUCCAUAGCACACGCACUUAAAAUUUUCACUUCCUGAUUGAGCCAUCAAGAUUACGUAAAAUGUAAAUCAGUCUAAAUACCUAAGAGCAGGAAUUUUAAAGGAAAAAUGCUGUCUUCUUUUUCUGUUUCAUUAUUGAUGCCUGAAAAAUAAGAGUGAGUGUGUGCUUGCCUGUUUGUGUUUGCAAACGAGAGACCGUUAGGGAUUUUUUUUGUCCCUUCCCUUUCAAAUUGAAUCAGACUUUGCUUUCAUUAUAAAAAUAAUGUACCAACUAGAUAGGCCGUGGGAGUGGUAGAGUUGCAGGACCGAAAUCAAAAUGGUUCCGAUGGCUGAGAGAGCUGUUCAUUUACUUAUGAUUCUUUUCAUGAGGUGAAUGAAGAAUACAGCAUCUCUCCAAAGGUAACGAUUUGAAACUUCAGAAUUGUAAAUGGCCGUUUAGGCUUUCUGCUGCCUGGUAUAAAUGAAAGUAAUUUCUAGCAGGCUGGAUGACACUUGCUUUCUCAUGGAUCUUAAACUCCCUCACUUUUCCUCAAAGCAAUUUUGAAGUUGUCAUAGUAACAGCAUGAUAUUUGAAGGGUCUUUUUAGCAGUUCUUUAGCUAGAGUUAAUUAAUUUUAUUAAUUCUGGAUGUUUUUCUUUUUACUCCUCUCUGACAAACAGGGGCCAUAAUUGCUCAAAUGUGUAUUUCAUGUUCUUUAUUUCUUGGCGGCUGUAGUUCAAGGACUUGUUCCGUCAGUUGUUUCAGGAAAGGAACAAGAAGAUUAUAAAUUGAUUUCAUGUAGGUUAAACUGGGUUUUUAAUUACUUGUCUGUAAAAUUGCCCUACCAUUGUAGAACCAGAAUUUAGUUUUAUUUAAAGAGGGGGGGGGUUAUGGGAGAUGUUCCCCGAAAUUUAAUUGUGACUUGCGUCCGGAAGUUACGGCUAUCCUUUGCUUCGACUCUGCUCUAUCCAGAAAAAGAAUUGAGGAACACAGAAGGGAAAUGUGUCAGACUUACAAGAAAAUAUUAUUUCUUUAAAAAUGCGACACUCAGCUGCAACACCAAAAGCAGGUUCCACAAAAGAAAAAAAUGGAUAAACCUGACUUUAUCAAAAUUUAAAAAUGCAGUACUCUUUGAAACUCUAAUAUGUACUAAUAUAAAUUAUCUUCUAGGAAAGAUCGUGGGAAGUUUUUAUUAGGAGAAAGUAGGUCGGAAUCUUCUAUUAGUAAAGCUCUGUGGCAGGAAUUCUUGCCAAUAUGGCGAUGGGUGAGAAAGGAGGCCCUUCUCUUGGGCAGGGACAGGGUCAGAAGAAAGAACGGUCUGUACUAGGUCUGGAGGCUGGGAAUUAAAAAAGUAUCAGAUGUUUGAUGCUUUUGUUUUCUUGUAAAAGUGAUCAGAGCGGUGUGGCACUUAGAAAAGGCAUCACGUGAGUUCUGUGGGUUUAAUGCUCGCACUGAUAUCCUUACUGUUCUGUGGAGGAUUUGUUCAGCCGGGGCGACUGAAGACCGUCCGGGUAGCGGCGUGUGCAGCCAACAGCAGUAAAGGUGCUAAUACACAUCCAGUGAUGUCAGGAGUUACAAGGCAGCGGUUUCAAAACACUGCAGUAAACAAGGUCAAAGUGUCCCAUUUUGCUGGAAGAAGGUUUGUUUUUAUGAGCUGGACAGUACAUGGAUGAAGUAAUUUUUGAAAACAAGCAUCAAAUUUGUAUUUUUUUUAAAAAAAUUUAUUAAGUUUUAAAAAAUUAACCGGAUGAGAUUUUUGUCAGGGUUACAUUUUUUUUGCAGAAUUGUACAUUUUCCAUGUUAUUUUUUUAUUGAUUUUCUGUAGUUUUCACAGAGUAAAUGAAAAUACUUCUGAUCUAGGAUUCUUAAAUGCUGUUUGAGAGCACAAAGUAUGACCCAGUACACGGCAAAUGCCAAUCACAGUCACCAGUAAACUGUUCCUUCUAAUCUGGUACCUUUCGCUCUCAUUUAGACAGGCAUUUUAAGUACGAGCAAGUUAAUGGCGCAGAAUACUGCUGACUGCGUGGUUCUCGUCUAAAUGCGUUUUCCAACCUUGAACCUGAGAAUGCCAGAGGCUCGAGUCUCUGGACGCUCAUCUGAGCAGUUAUCUGCUGGUGGCCUGGUUCCUGAGGUAACAAGUGGGUGUCCCGGGUGCGUGUGUGUGUGUGGUAACAACAGCAGUGGUGCCACGUGGCGCCCAGAGGUCGCCUCAGUCUGUCCUGGGAAUUCCUGGUCCCCGGUGCUUGCGAGAUGAGCUGUGAACUUGGGGCGUCCGGAGAAGUGCAGGCAUUUUGGAGUUCCACAGCAAACCUGGAUGUAAGCAUAAACACAGCUUUUAAAGUGAAAGCAGGGGCCCUGAGGAAGGAAUUACCCUCAUCUCAUUCCCGACCUGCUUACUGUGCCGGAAAACAAAGAAUUGGGAAAACAACGUAGUGUGGUUUUCAUUGUUAGUCCUGGAGGAUUCCAAAAUCUGUGUCUGCAAAUAAGAUGAGCUGGAGCGACGUGCUGUGCCACUUGCUGUUUCUACUUGCCUGUUCUCCUAAUCGAAGUGAACCCCUUGCUUCCAGGACAAGCCCAGCCCGUGCUCGGGGACCCUCGUGUGACUGUUCCGUGCCCAUCUCUCAGAAGACUCCAAGCUCAGCUCCUCUGCCUGGGAUGGCAUCUCUGCACAUGCCCUUCUCUCUCCCUCGUCUGUCUACCUGCCAACACCUGCUCCUCCCUAAGAUUCAUCUCAGAAUUCAGCCUAGAGUCCUCCAGAAAGCCGUGUCUGACAUUUCAGAGCCGCCACUCCCUCCUCACUCCUCACAGGUGCCGCCGCCUCUGGGGGACGUGCGCCUCUGCCACAGGGACCGUGUCUUUCUGCUCUUCACUGCCAGCACCUGACACAGUAUGUGACAUGGAGUACCUGUCCCUUAAGUGUCGUUGAUUGAAAGAACUGAACGUAUUACAGGGACUCAGUACACAUCCAUUGAUUUGUUGAGACGUAGAUGCUGUGAGUGCAGAGGAGGGUGACGUGCCGGAGCAGUCCAGGGAGGCUCCGCGGAGCAGGUGGGAAAUACUAAGCUGAACAUUCAAGGUUUCGCACGUUGAAAACGGGCAAAGAACAAAAAUACCCGAGGUGGAGGAGCUCAGUGUGUGCGACUGCUGGCAACUCCACCGCUCUGUCCACACGGCCCGGAGGCAGGGAGCCCUGGAGCCGGGGUGGAGGCGGCCUGCUAGUUGGAGCAGAGGGUUUAUUGAAAGGAGGUAGAGAGAAGGCCCUGAGGGUGGGUUGGAUUUAAGUGGUGGGAAGGCCUCAAAGGCACGUGGGUUCUUGCAGGCGGUGAGUGUCAUUAUUUUUGAAAGCUAGUGACUUGCUCAAAGUGGUGUUGAAAGUGGGAGCUGCCUUGUGGCCCUGCCUUCAUCUUCCAUCCCGGCUUUGAGGCUCCUCUGGUGACCCCAGAUGUGAAGCCCCCUCCUAUCAAAUGCCUCACCUUUAAGGGCUGGAUCUUUUGUAAAUAAAGGCUUUCCUUCUGGCGCUGCCCUUGACCUGGCUCUGAGCUGUUGGUCCUUUGGGCCCAUUCAGCUCUGUCCCAUCCCUCUCCCCUCGUGACUGGUAAUGACCCGGAAGGUGGCAGCACCCACGCAGCAGGUGGCCUCAGAGCUGAGUCACCGCCCUGGGAACUGUGCCCUGGUGAGGCCGGCUCAGGCAAACUGGGGAACUCUCCACCUCACCCCGGCUCUGUGAGGCCUCUCAGUGCAACAGCCAGAGCAAAGGAAAAUGGAUUCUUUUAUGCAUCGAGCUGAUGAGAAAGUGAAAUAAAGCUAAUUGAAGAACCUAAAGGAAGUUAUCCUAAUGGCAGUCUCUAGCUGGUGUCUUUGGCAAGCACAGAGUUUUUCCUCACAAUUAUAGUUAUGGCCAUGAUUGUUUUAUCUAAACACAUGAAAAUCAUCCCUUUACACUUAUCUUUAAAAAAUGGGACGAAGAAGAUUUUAAAAUGAUGGUUUACGAUUCUGUAUGACCUUAUGAAUUCAGAGAGCCUAAGAAAUAAAAUGAUGUGGAGAGAUAUCUAAGCUGUCAAUGUUCUAGGAAAUGUGCAAAUGAGGUUUAGGGUUUUUUUUUUAAGUGUUUUAUUAUUCAUAAAUACUCUGAGGGAGGUUGUUUUUAAAAAUUAUGAUGCUUUUAUUUCAUUCCCAGAGAAGAUAAAAAUGUAGUGUUGCUUCUGAAAGAGGGUUUUAGAAAAAAAGGUCUGGCUUGUUUACUACACCAAUGAAUAGAGAUGACCUCAGUCCGAAAAAACAAGUUAACCAUAAUAUCGCUCCUUUGCCUGGCAAAAUAAGCCUUUAUCACAUAGCAAAAGAAGUGCAAGUCUGACCACCUAGUCAUCAUUUCAGCUGAUCAGGAUUUUCCAAAAGACAAAACAAAAAGCUCUCUCCAUUUUCACAACUGAACAAUAGCUCUUAGGAAAUACUACCAGCUUGCUCAGUUCCUAUAAGGCUGUAAAAAAAGUCUGGUGACAAUUACUCACUCAGUCGCCUGAAUGCAAUGCUGUACGUGGUUAACUCUGCUGUCGCCACUGUGAGCUUUCGAAGUUGGAAAAAAGGGGUCAUGUCUGUUGCUUUUUGAGUAUGGAGUUUUUUGACUUAAAAAGAAAUUUAAUCUUUUUUGCUUUAUACAUCCUGUGCCCAGUAAGCUCUGUACAGCUGAAGGGUCCCUACAGAUGGAAGCCUGUUCUCUUGAGCAGAUUUUCCUGAGCUCUGGGUACGUGCACGUGCUCUCUGACCACCGUGGGGCCCAGAUGAGACGCGUUGAGCCAGUCCAUGGAACUCCACUGCUUAGCUGGCAGAUAUGCUGUGACCCGGAAGUUGAGUUUUCUCCUUUAUUUUCCUGUUUACUUUGCAUAUGCGUAAAAAAAUGAGCCACACAAAAAUAUAGACGGUCAAAAGGCUUCCUAAUUUUUCUAAGGCAGAGGAGUUGAGGCAGAUUCUGCUAGAAAGCAGCACCCAUAUCCUAAUUCCUACAGCCUCUGUGAUUUCAGAUCAGCAAAGGCGGAAUCGAAACACACUGGGAAGUUAGAGGUCAGUUGAUUCUAGGAUCCAUUCCAGUCAAAAGAAUCUGUAGACUCACUGGAUUUGGGAAUGGGGUUUGGGGAAAGAGGGUUUUUUUAAAAAGAGGGAAGCUUUGUUCCUUAUUUCUUGACCUGUGUUGGGUGGGAGAACGAACCUGCUUUGAAUAGAAGUUGCAAAAAAGCCAAUCCUGGUGACCAUACAAGAAGAUUAAUGAGGACUCGGCACCAAAUUAAAUAUGCCCAGCCUUUAAGAAAACUGCGUUAAUAGUGCCACUGUGACGGCGUUAACGAUGGGAGCCAUGGGAAGAUGCUUGGGGAGGCUCAGGCGCUGAUGAGUUAAAAAGGCAGAGACAUCCAGUAAGUGAGAUCCCGCCCGGGCACGGGUUUGUUUAUCCUGCCCUUCUGAAGUCAGAGCCAACAUUCUUAAUGGUUUUGAAUGAUUCAGAAUGUUUCUCUUUUGGCAGGGCCACUUUCCACACAUGGGCUUAUGACUAAAACCCCUUAGGUGAGGUCCAAAGCAGAAACUGACCUUACACUUAAUGUCGAAUUUUAGAAUCGUCUUAUUUUAGAGCAACAGGAAAACUGUCAAUACAGCGUGCUUGUUUCAGAGAUGAAGAGCUGGACCAGGGGGUUUGGUCCGCCAGAGGUCACCCAACGGGAGGGCGAGGCCAGUCUGGGCCGGGCCGCCUUCCUCCAACCACACGGGCCCUGGUCCCAGCCUCGGGAGGAGGCUCCCGCCUGUCCUUGGCCUCCCAGCUGGGAGAGGCCAAUGCCCUUUGAGGAAUGUUCAGAAAAUUGCUUAGGUCGGAAAGGAGAACUUCAUUUUUACAAAAUGAAACAAAUCGGUUGUUUAUUUGUCACGGGCAGCUUUUUCAAAAUCUUCUUUGUCAGUAUUUUGAAUUUAUUAGCUCCCAGGCAGAAGGAAGCAUAAUAACAUUUCUAUCCAUACGCCAAAGUAAGAGACUUGAUAUACCCUUCGCUCGCUCACUCUUCUUUUUCUUUUUUUUGGAUGAAAAUUAACUGUGCCACGCUAGUUCUUAAUAAAACAAACUUUGAAUUCUUCCCACAGGAGACAGAAUUGAGCAAUGUUCUAAGAACAUGUUGUACUCUUUUGGGCACUGAGUAAAUGUAAUACUGAGAAGAUGCUCUAGAAGCUUGAAAGUGCCUCUUGGUAAUAGAGUCACCGGGAGAAGUGGCAGAAAGAACAGGGUAGAGAAGCUGGUCCUCGUGGAGGAGGGCUCAGCAGGAGCUGCUGGCUCAGCCUCUUCCUGCCUGGCUGAGGACCUGAGGGCAUCACGGAGCCCACAGGAAAGGACUCAUUUCCCCGUAAGCCAGGGCGUGAACCACUGACCCCUGCUGGGCGCACCCGACGCGGUCAGAACCCGGUCCUCCUCUGGACUCGGCGCUGAACUGCACGUCCACCAGCGCCAGAGACAGCAUCUCCAGGAAAGGACACGCACCACAGGUCGCUGCACCCACUGCGCUGGCCCUCUCCCAGCGGCUCCCAAACCCCGGGGACGACCGUGUGGCCUUCAUUUGUUUAAGGACGACAACCUGAAUUAAGAGAUGAAGCGAUUUAUCCCAGGAGGAAAAGCCAUUCGAAGAAAGGGGAUUUGCACCAGAUUCCUGCCGAGACCCGCCCCCCAAGCCCUCCCCCCCCCCCGUAGCAAAUUGUGCCCUCUUCCUUCCGGGUGGCACUUAAGCAACUGUCACUUAUCGCGUCCUUAUAUUAAUUACACAAUUAUUACAAACGUGUUCCCCCGAAAGAAUGUAAACUAAAUAUGUCAUGAGUAUCAAGUUAAGCAUCUCCAACAGGAUCUUUUCAUAGGAAGAACGGUUCCUUAGUCCUAGUAACAACAAGUGCUAUUUUUUUCCCUCUUCCCAGCCCGUGGAAACAAUGCCGAGGAAAAAUUAUCUUGUGUUUAGCUUCCAGCGUGAUAUUGGAGAUAAGUAACAGUGUCUUUUUUUCCCCCCAUCACCCAUGCUGUCUUCAUUUUUAAGGUAGACAGUUUAUUUUAAGAAGAGCAGGAAGGAGAAGCUUUUGGCUGUCUCCAGGUGCCACGUGGCCCUGAUGGCCUUUCCUGGGGUCAUCUUCCAGGCAAGUGGAGCCGUCCUCACCUGCUACACGGAAGCCAGCGCAGCGUUGGCUCUGCCUGAGCGAACCAGGGAAGUGUUGGGGGGAGGAGAGCGGGGGUGUGGAUUUGAAUCUCCCUUGGAUUAUUUUAAAUUCUUGUGUCGUUAUAUUUGUGUGUACUUGAAAAAUUAUAAUCUAGCAAAUGUUUCAGAUUUAAGCCGUGGGUAAAAUUUUCCUAACAGAAAAUGACACAGUCAGCUGGAAAAAUGGAAUAGAAAGCAGCACAUGCUGUUUCCUUCUUAGGGUUUUUCUAUUCGUGUUGGAGCAGAAAGCCCCUCGCCCGCCCUCACUGCCCCUUUCUUGGAGUGGGUGCCAUCUUGAUAGCCUUCCUGUGUGAGGUGAGGGGACUGGGGGAGCGGGUUUGAGAACCCCCGCCUCCCCUGCUGUCCGCUGUCAGUCAUGCUAACUUCCCUGAGCGCUGGCAGUCAUAUGAGAAUGUCUUAGCUGCGUGUGUGAAAGUCACGCCUGUGUUUCACCUCCAGUGUGAGUGCAAUUCAGUGUCCCGGGACAUGGUCAUCCCCUUUGGUCCUCUAAAGGAGUUGGGGUCUGCGAAUAGGACUCGUGCUGAGCUGGAGGGCAUUUUAUGGGCAUCAUUUCAUCUGUUCUCUCCGUCUCCAGCCAGAACUGCAUUCCAGACACAUGGGUACAUGUAUACCCUAUUCGAAUAUUCAGGCGUCCUGAGAAGGGGCUCCCAGCCUGUCUGGGAAACCCAGAAGGAGCUGACCACCCCCAUUUCUUCCUGCCCAUACCUCUGGAGAUGGAGACUAGGAGGCCCUUGGGAAAGCUUAUCCUGAGCCCAAAGCUUGGUGCCUCACCUAUGGGACCAUGGCCCCUGAAGUUUCCCCAUCCUAAUACCUAUCCCAUUGUCGUAAUAACUGCCAUUUAUUUGUCUGCACCCCCUGCCGGCUUGCAGACUCCAUGAGGACUGGUGCCCGUGUGGGUCCACGUUGCGUCUCCAGCACAGUGCUUCCCACAUGCUAGAUAUUCAACAUCUGUUUCUUCUGCGCUUCAUAAAUUUUGUUUUUUGUCGUCUCCUGCCAUCCCUGAUCUCAGUUAACCUUCCCAUUGUGUGUGUGUGUGUGUGUGCACGUGUGCAGGAAGAAAUGCCUUCAUGAGCUCACUCGCUCGCUCUUACCUUCUGCAUCCUGUGUUAUCGCACAGCCAUCGCAGUCUCACUUCCCAAAGGUCUUGUUUGCCGAAUGCGGUGGCUUUCCCCAUUCCCAUUGAGCUUCACCUCCUGCUACAGUUCACAUGAUGUUACCUCCCCUCCCUGACACCCUCCCCUUUUUCCACCUGCCCAGACCACCCCUGUGGAGCCCGGCUCAGGCCCCUUUCCUCUGCAGACACCCCCCCCCCCCGCCCCCUAGUCAGCCUGCCCCAAGCUCAUCGAAUCCUGAAUGACUGUUGUCCCUCUCUGUCAGCAUGGCACACUUAAGCCUUACUCGUCCCUAUAUACUCAACUUCAUUCCACAUUAGGUUCCAAGGUCACGUGCAAGUGUAUCCAUGUCAUCUGUUUAGGCACUUUUCCAGUUCAGCGCGGGGCUCUUAGGAGGCAAUCAGUGAACGCCUAGCGAUGGAUUCUAACAGAUCUGUCUUUACCCGUCGUGUUGAGAAGUGACUUGUGGUUCUGCAGCAUUGUUGUUGGUUAAUCCCUCCCUGACAGACGUGACCGUCCCUAUGUGCACCCCCCCAUGUGCCUACACUGGACUCUUCUAGGAGCCUCAUCUGCCUCAUGUCCUCUGAGCCUCAUACGGCACCUGGGACAUGGUAAACUCAGUGAAUCAGUGGUUCUGAGACCAGAUAGAUGGAAAUGCUGGAACAUCCUCAUCCCUGUUGCGGAUCGUAUCUGUCCUUUCACAGACUCGCGACUCCUUGUUUUGACGUCCCAUGACCUACCCUUUUUCCGUCAGAGAGCCUCAGACCCAGUCUCUGUGUACUGAUGCUCGAUGGUAUUUUAGUCUUUCACACCAAUUUUAACAUAUUGAUUGUAUAUACCUUCUGGAAAAUUUAUCCAAAAUGUUAAAUGUGCUGUCCCCUCACAGGGGAAUGUGGUGAUGGUUCUUUUUCAGGGGGGAGGUUAAUAUUUAUUGAAAAAUCUCUGGACCAUGGAUUUUACUUGAGUUAGUUAUAUUUUCACAAGUCUGAGAAUUAACAUUAUCAUUUCCACUUUACAGUUGAAAAAAAUAAAGCUCAAAAAGGGUUAAAUAGCUUGUCCCAGGCUAACAAGUGACAGAGGGAAAAUUUGAAACCAGGUCUUUCUGAUCCCAAAGCUUAUGCUGCUUGUCUCUCUGUUCCCCGCUUAAAUGUGCCAUUAAAUGGGAGUUCCCUUAAUGGCGCUCAACGUUGAAUAGGCAGUGUCUAAGCACGUUAACUCAGAUAAGCUGGUGCUCAUGUGGAAAGGCACAGACAAGGACAAGAUGUGUAUUGGUACUUUUGGUUCUAAGCAGAGAUUCAGAGAUCAGCUUCUAAGAGCCUCAAGCUUCAAGAGGAUGACGGUUGAGCACCUAGGAAGAUCCUUUGGGGGGCCCUCUGUGACACAGGGCUGCCCUGUUGAAGGUGUAAGUUGACCCUUGACUCCUCCUGAGAAAACACAGGAAUCCCGUUAGGGAAGCAUCCUCGUGGGCUGGGCUGCUCCACGCUCUCCCCUCUGGUGAUGGGUUUGGUACAAGCCUCAGCCCUGUGUUUAGAUUAGAGCCACCAAGAGCUACCGUGGGAGGCACAGAUGCCAGUGCUCAUAAGGGGAGGCACGGAUGUUAGUGGGAAGCUGAAAAUGCAGCUGUCAAACUCAUAUCCUCAUAGUUAAGAAACCUUAUCACUAACUCAUAUACGGUGUUCUUGACCGAACCUUUCUGUGCUCUGGUUUCCCCAUCUACCAAGAAUGCACAUGCACCUAGAUCUUAGGAGGCUGCAGGUGCAGUGGUCACAAGGUGCUCCUGAGUUCUUUAGAGGAGUGACAGAGAGGAUGGAAGAGGCACGCUACAGAAUUAGGCUUUAUCAUACGCUUUUACAGGAAAAAGUUAAUUGUAGGAAGACUUUGCAGCAGCUUAAAUGAACUCUUGCAAAUACUGCAGAACUCCCGGAACACAGCCGACGGGCGUUCCUUGCAGCUGACACCCAUCUCAGUCACCGUUGACAAGGGGAAGAGCUCCUCACUGACUCUGGGUCCUGUCGUCAUUUUUAUGAUCAGACAAUUUCGGAAACAUGCUAUUAUUUUAAAUUAGUAUUUAAAUAUUCCAAAGCCGUGUGAUUUAAUAGCUCCAUGUCAGUUUCAAUUUUAUGUUUACCCUGAUAGAUCCUCCUUCCUUUUCCUCUCAGCUUGAAUAUUUUAGAUUUAUCUUUCUGUCAUAAGACAGUGUUGAAUAUAACAAUGGCUUUUCUCAGCCAUUUCUCUUCCUGGUCAAGAUCUUCUUGAAUUUUAAUCCCAACUUUCAAGAAUCUUCCGAACAUAUUACGUCCGUGUUUUGAUAGCGUCUUGAAGUGUGUGAGCAUAGUCGCUAAAGAACAUGUCCUCCAACGCUCAGCUUAAAGAUCACACCUGUGAACCACAGUGCGUUGUCUUCCCCAGUCUGUCUGAUGCACGUGUCUAGACCAUAUCACCCCAUCCACUGGCCUCGGCCGUGUUUCUGUUCCUCCAUGGGGUUGUAAUUGUUCACUUGGAAAUUGCAAUAGAUAGUAAUCUGACAGGACAGACUUUUCUUCCUCACACUGCUGAGUCACGCCGCCCCUUGCUGGGUGAAAUGUGAGCUUUUGGGACUUGAGCCCCUUCUAAGGAAGCCUCCUUGGGGCUGUUAUGAAGGCACUCCCAGUGGCUGUGGCAGGUCACGUGCACGGAAGACUGAAGUACUCCUUGAACGAUGAGUUUUCAAAAACGAAGACCUCUACAACACGGGCCUCCUUUCCUAUAAUGUGGCAAAAGGUGCACUCCAGCUUUAAACUUAGACCACGCAGGAGAGAACAUCAUGGGGUUUCUGUUCUGUAUUUCCUCCGCUUGACCGCAGAGCAGUGAGAGAAGGUUGCACUUUCAGACAGUUGCUGCCCUCUGCUGGCCUCUGCAGUCUGUGCUGCUGCAGCCUGAGGUUGCGAAACCAAUUUUGAAAAUAGAAACCUCUCCCUGUCUUCUGUGCGGGCUGCUUUCAUGUCUUUCUUCCGUGACUGGAGCUAUAGGUCUAUACCAUGUUUUAUUUCAUAAGACCUCUUGCUGAGCAAACCUUGAUGAUCUGCGAAACGCACAGCCUCGUGUCGGUGGACGCACCAGUGAGGAGCGUGUCCACCGCUCACUGUGCAGGAACUUUCCCAACCUAUGCAGCAGGAAGGAGAAGGUGCUCCUUAUUUCUUGUUUUUAAAAAUUCAUCUCUUUAUGACAUUGGCGGAGGAACAAGAGAAAACAACUGACUUUUACUUCCUCUGUUGCUCUGGGAGAUUUCCUAAGGGCUCAUACUGUCGUUUAAAUUCCAGGUGCUGAUCUUCUGAGCAGUUGCCUCCUGAGGAUUUCUGUGCCUGGAAAAUAUCUGUCAACAGAUUGCUCUCACACUCCUGUGUAAGUAGAGGCUUGUGCUCGUAAAAUCAACCUCAAGCGAGUUUCGUUUUAUUUUGUUCCUGGAUGAUUCCCCAUAAAUUUUUUUAAAUGGUCAUCAGGGUUCGAUCUCUAUUCCUUUUCUCUUAAACCCUCAACUCCUAACUUAGCAUUGGGAAAAGUCUAUAACGUGAACUCCUGCUUAAAAGGAAGGGUACAGAUCCCGUAUUCAGGUCUUAGAAUGGGAAGAGGAGAAGAAGGUAAAAAAUAUUAAAGAUACUCAUUUCAGUUAAUUCAGUUGGAGAUGCCAUUUGUAGAUCUGAGGGCGUCUUCCGAUUUUAGUAUUUGUCGGAUUCCUCUGCAGUCAGCUGGGCUGACAUGUAUCCAUGUACGAUGAAAUGGACGGAAGCAGGAUCUGUGAGCUUUUUCCAUUUACAAGCUGUGGCAGAUCUCUUAGCCACCUCUCUGCUUAUAAUGUGCUAAGGGAAAAAUGAUUUAUUAUUUCUGUCAUCGUGGCUAUCAUUUAUUGAGUAUUUACAUUGUGCCAUUGCUAGUUCGAAUUGCUGUACCUGAUUUAUUUAAUUGUCACAGCAACCUUAGGUGUGGUGGGUACUAUCAUCAUCCUUAUUUUAAACAGCUGAGGAGACUGAGACACUGAGAGUUAACGUAAGUUACCCAGGGUUGUGCAGGGAGCGAAUUGCAGAGCUUGACAUUCUGCCUCCAGAAGUCUACAUGUGACCAUGUCGCCAUACUGCCUCUUAGAAACGGGGAACUUAGGAGGAUAAACUGCUGGGCUGUAUUUUAGAGACAUUAUUUUAGCACUGUCAUAAUCAUGUGAAUGAGUGUUGGGCUAGUCACUAUGCUCUUUUGACGUGAGCCUCCUUUAGAUUAGCGGGAAGCCAGGCUUUAGAGAUGUGGCUUGCUUAAGGGCACACUGCAAAUCACGUGUGUGGCUGAGCAUCCAGGUCUCCAACCGUUCAGUGCUAGCCAAAUCCUACUAAUUUCCAAGUUGUCGCCGUCCUCUUGGUGGGUUGUUGGGUGCUGCUUCUGCUGAUCAGAACCAAAGCUGGUUUUAAUGGUUUGCUCAUGUGCUUAUUGGUGAAACCCUGAAAUCGGAGCCAGUUUACAUUCAAAGUUCCAUCCGGCCACGUGGAGAAUAGCCAUUACAGUCUCUAUAAUGCGCUGAGCCAGCAGAGACUCACGGCUAAAAGCCUGGGCCUGGAUUCGGGCAAAUCCCGCUUUGCACCCUGGUCUUGCCCUCCACAAGCUUUGUGACCAAGGGCAAGUCAUGUCCCCGUUCUAAAUCUCUGUUCCCUCACCUGGGAAAUGGAGAUGACACCACCAACCUUGUCAGGUGAUUUUGAACGUUGAGAAAAUGCAUAUUAAAGCAUGCAGCAGUAUCUGGCGCAGAGUGUUCCAAAAAUGGAAGCUGUCCCUAUUUUUCAGAGUACCUUCCCGUCCACUUCUCAGUUCAUUUUGUACUUCACCCUGAAAAGGCGCUCCGGGGUGCUGAUCCAUCUAAUAAAAUAAAUGUUUGUGUAGUGCUUUAAAAAUUAUAGAAUGUUUCCAUAUACUGAAUUACGUAUAACCCUAACAACCACUGCAGUCUAGGAAUUUAUGUCUCCAUUCUCUAGAUCAGGAUAAUCAACCUCAGAAAAAUUAAAUGAUUGCCCAGGAUCACAUAGCUAGUAAAUAGCAUAGCCAGGACUUCAACUCAGAAGCGCGGCUCCGGGUCUUGCGCUCCUUGUUCAUCUGCUUCCUGCAGGAAAGCUUUCACUAAAGGCAUGUAAGUCGAGAGAGGACUUACAGCUAGGUGAUCCAGCUCCACAGCAGUAACAGUUGCAUCUCUAUUCUGGUCUACUUUCUCCAGUCAGGACUGUUGGAGCCUGAUGUCCGUAACAUUUUGAAACUACGUUCUUAAAGAAGUCUUGUAGUCAGAUACAGUCUCCUUGUGAAAUCCUGAAGCCCCAAGGGAAGUUAUCUUAAUCCAGUUUGCUCAUGCAAGAACAGACUGGCAUUUCACUUCAAUGAAAACAAUGUAUUUCCACUGUUCCGCUUUUGCCACACGAGAGUUACUGGUGUAGUUUAUGGAUUCACAUUUCAGGCUCCAACUUUCCUAUCAGAUUUGGAAGAAAAAAAUCCAAAGAAGGGCAACCUGCUCAAAAAGCAUCAUAUAAAGUACGACAGUGAAGACUGGAUUUUGAAAUGGAAACAUUCUCAUGGCUUGUGGGCUGAGAGACAAUUAGGAAGGAUGUUCCUGAAAGGUGAUGAUUUUAAUGCUGGGGAUGGAGAGUUUUGCAAUUUUAAGUGUGUUCUCUGUGUGAGAAAGAGUUGUUAAAAAAUAACAUUCCUUUCAAAUGAUGCAAUACCUAAAAAUUGUUGAUGAUUAAAAUAGAAAUACCCUGAGUUACAGAAAUUCAGCCCUACAGUAUCCUGGCCUAAAAAAUGCAGAACAGUCAGGUUGAUUGUUGGAGCUGGAGGAUAAGGAGGCAUGGAAACAUGGUAAUGUUCACUGAGUAAAAUCUUUCCUCGCGGUUGAAUGUCACGGAAAGACUCAGCAGAGCCAGCAGAUAGCAGCUGCUGCCAUCCUGUUUCCUUGUGCAUGUCCUGGAAGGAGAAUGAAUGAGCCCCUAUUAAUUUACCAACUGGUUUUUUUUUUCGUUUCCCUGCUAGCGAACAAUGAGAUUUUUUUCCCCUAUGUUAAUUUGGUAGCCAGUCUCUGCAUGCAGAUCUAUUUUCAGGAAACUGGCCUCUUGCUUUAGAAGAUUACGUGAAAACAGAAGCCCAAGCUCAACUAAGUAACUCGCUUUCCCCCCAAGGGGCUUAAAAUCCGAAGGGAAGUUUUGACUGAUCUCUGUGUUUAUUAUGCUUUAUCUGCUGAAAAUGGCCUGUCAAACUGGGCUCACCUGAAGAGACAUAGAUGCAAAAGGAUAUAUCCAUCUUUGUUCUUCUGCUGAAUUCUGUAGAAAGCGUACUCAAACGAUAAUACAGAAAACUUACCAUAUCUAUUUGUUUCUGCUAAGGGAGCAAAACAGUGUGGUUGUGUCUAUAGUAUGGAUACAUGUGUGUGUGGAUGUACCUAUAGGGGUGUGACAUAUAUUUGAUGUAUGAGAUAUGUAUGCUCUUAUCAGACAUAAGUAAAAGGAAGAAAUCUGUUUUUUAGGAAAAUUUUCCCCAUAACCGAAGUGUCAAAAUCAUUUGGAAAAAACUUCUAAGUGGCAGUAGGCAAAAGGUAUGACUAGUCAUUAGUAAAAAAUAAACGGACCUUUUUGUUCUGGAUUUGGGAUUUUUUAACUGAUGAGAAUAAUCUGGCUGCAUCUGACAAGUUCAGUUACUGAUAUUACGAAUUAGAAUAGCAUAUACAGAAGGAUGCCGUGGACCCUAAAUCAAUCACAAAGUUAGUGAAAUCGCUAUUUGAGAGUUCCAGUGAUUCUUCUAUCUUGGCAGUCUUUCAAGUUAAAAUGCUUGAAUUGACUAUCCAGUUGAAAUAUUUAAUUGCCAGUUGCUUCACAAAGUAUGUGCCUUUCUUUGCAGUCUAUGAGCUGUUGCAUCUUGGAUGAAGUGCUUGUGACACAUCUCUCUAGACCAUAGUGUUCUGUUCCCUUUUUUCAGAGAUGAAAAAACUAGUCUGGUAGUAGUAGGCGUGUGCAGUGGAUGCUUCUCCAUUAUGAAUGAUGAGUUUGUGUUGGGAUCUCCUAUGAAGAGAUAAGCGGUCAAGGCUAUAAGGAGUAAGAACGUUCAAGUGAAACACCCUGCCCCUCCUGGCUUGUUAGCAUCCUGCUGAGCCCAUUUGAAAUCAUCAGCCACAGGCACUUUGUAAUUAGAGGUUCUUCCCGUAAGCAUUAUAAAUGAGGAAAGUCAAAAGAGAAACUAAAGUUCAGUUAAUUGAUUUCAGCCAAGAGAACAGACUAAGUGAAUGGUACAGCCAGGAUUAGAACCUACUUUUCACCAGGUGACGCUAUCAUGAUAAAACCCAAAAAAGAUGGGAGAGUGUUUUAAGUUAAAAAAGACUAAAGAAUCUUAGUGAGUGAACCUGGAUGGAAUCUGGGUUUGAAAACAAACAAAAAUUAUAAAAGACUUUUUUGGAGAAAGUAGGAAAAGUUAAAUACGGACUGGAUAUUAGAUGAUACUAAGGGAAUUGCUCAUUUUCUUAGGAAUGAUAAAGAUAUUAUAACUGUAUGAAGAAUGGCCUCAUUUUUUGGGGGGUCACCUCAAUUUUUUAGACAUGCUCAAGAAGUUAGGAGCAGAGUGUUGGAAUGGUUGUCAAUUUACUUUCAAAUAAUUCAGCAAAAAAUACAUAUAUCUUACAUAGAGAUAACAUAGCUAAAGCAAAAAAUGGCAAAAUGAAUAAUUGUUGAAUGUAGGCGGUAUGAAUUUAGGAAUUCAUUUUUUUGUCAUUCAAAUUUAAUGUAAGUCUGAAAGUUUUCAUAACAGUUAUAAAAAAGAACGCACAUCUCUUUAGUUAAGUAGCCCUGGUUACAUCAAGUAUUUUCUUGGAUCCCUGGGACACUAAAGGGAAUGACAGUAGACUUCCUAAGAAAAUGAUAUCGAGAACCAUAGUGGGAGGAGAAAAGACCGUGGCCAAAAAUGAUUUGUUAAGGAGAGCUGAGAGUACAAAGCCUUACUUUUGGAGGUGGGAGAGGAGAAUCUUAAGUAAAGCUAACAAAAAUCCUUAACUCAUAGAUGCAUCUAAGGAAUUCCAUUCUGGAAAAAAAAAAUUAGAAUCUCAUUAGCGUCAAUGUAUUACUUACCUCUGAACUAUUUCCAAUGAGCUGUCCUCCUUGGGCCCUGAAGUCAUAGUACUCUUUAGAAUCAAACAAAAUUAUCUCCCAAGUGAAAGGACUAGGUGUGGGAAAGGGUUUCCCUCAGCUUCUCCCAGAGCACCUGCUUACUUUGUACCAUUUGUAUGUAUGUUGUGAGGUUCACACCACCUUCUAGUUAGCGUACGCCUGGGUCCUUUGACCCCAGGAUGAGCUCUGCCUCUUCACCUGAGUCAGGGUUUCCCGUGACUUCCCACUGGGAGUAAAUGGGUUCACAUGUGCCCUUCCCUCUAAAUGAUAAAACUGAACCUUUGUCUGGGAAGCUCAGGAAUUGAGUCCAGGCUUGUCCCCCAACACCAGAUUUGGUGACAUCAGUACAUAUAUGUAUGCGAUUUGCUAAAGCUCUAUUUAGACCACAAAGUAAAUAGCUCAUAACCAGGUUUCAACUUUUUCCUUUCUAGGUUGUCUUGAGUUGACGCUAAGAGAGCAUCCUCAAAGAGAAAAAACAAACAGAUCAUAAAGCUUCUUCAGGAAGCUGGUUUCAUAUGGUGGUUUAGAUUUAAAUAGUGAUUGUCUAGCACCAUUUGAAAUCAGUGUUCUUGGGGGAGACCAGCUGCGCUACCAGUGGCAAAAGGAGCGAAUGGGACAGCCCUGAAGAAUUUGAAAGCAGAGACCAGACGGUUGUGAGAAGUUGCCUGAUGUUGUAGCUGAGCCAUUCCAACAGCCUAUUAUAAAUAACAAGUUAAUUGUGCGGGACGUCUCAUUAUUAGUACUUUAUACUCGUUUGUGUAAUAAACUUUCUGGGGUACUUUUUCUGGAAUUCAGACUUCAUCGUGCUUGGGUGAAAGGGCCGAAUAUGUGGGGGAUUUCUUCAUCUUCGGGCCCUCCCAACCCACAAGUCCUCCUGUGACCCCUUAGAGGAUGACUGAUUUCUUUUGGUGUUCAGAGUCAAUAUAAUUUUCUAGCACCAUCUGAAAUCGGUUAUAAUGAUGGGGGAAGAGCACCGUGCAGCCG
rnacentral:lncRNA from 1 species